AGCGGGCGCAGACUCAGAGACCUCGCUUACUCCCUGGCUCCGCCCUGCUCACCCUUAGGAGGCGGGGCGAAGGCCGGGCUGGCAGAAGAGGCGGGGUGGGGGCGCCGCUGUGGCCUGACUUGAGCGGUUUUAGACAAGAUGCAGGACCCCAAUGCAGACACUGAGUGGAAUGACAUCUUACGCAAAAAGGGUAUCUUGCCCUCAAAGGAAAGUGUGAAAGAUUUGGAAAAGGAGGCAGAAGAAGAAGAACAGCGAGUCCUUCAGCAGUCAAUUGUGAAAACAUACGAAGAUAUGACUUUGGAAGAGCUGGAGGAUAAUGAAGAUGAAUUUAAUGAAGAAGAUGAACGUGCUGUUGAAAUGUACAGGCAGCAAAGACUGGCUGAGUGGAAAGCAACUCAACUGAAGAAUAAAUUUGGAGAAGUUUUGGAGAUCUCAGGAAAGGAUUAUGUUCAAGAAGUUACCAAAGCCGGUGAGGGCUUGUGGGUAAUCUUGCACCUUUACAAACAAGGGAUUCCCCUCUGUGCCCUCAUAAAUCAGCACUUCAGUGGACUUGCCAGGAAGUUUCCUGAUGUCAAAUUUAUCAAAGCCAUUUCAACAACCUGCAUACCCAAUUAUCCUGAUAGGAAUCUGCCUACAGUAUUUGUUUACCUUGAAGGAGAUAUCAAGGCUCAAUUUAUUGGACCUCUGGUGUUUGGUGGCAUGAACCUGACAAUAGAGGAGUUGGAGUGGAAACUGUCAGAGUCUGGAGCAAUCAAGACAGACUUGGAGGAAAACCCUAAGAAACCAGUUGAAGAUGCUUUGCUAUCCUCAAUGAGGUGCUCCAUCCCCACAAGAAGGGGUAGCGAUUCUGAGGAUGACUAAGACUAUGGCCUUGGGUGUUUGGCAGUUGCUGUGAUAAAAGCAGGUAUAGCUCAAAAAUCAACAAGGAGCAGGGAAUGAGGGUGACAGAGUCUGAUCAAAUUUCAAGGUUGGACAAAGCCCAGAGCCCAACAGGCACUCACAUCGCAUUAAUAAGAAAUAAACAUUCCUCAAUACUUUGGCAUCCUGAUAAAUUCACUCAUUUGAGACUGAUUGCUGGGUCCUAACACUUGGAAUUAUAAAUGACCCAGAAACUCUUAAGCAACCAUGUGUUGAGUGUCUGCUGCACGCCAGGCACCAUUCUGGGUAUUGGAAAUCAUGCCCUCACUGAGCUCCUGGGCCUGGUUGGCAAGGAAACCCCAGUAGAUGCUGAGACAGGGCCAAAAACCCUGUGAAGACACACAGGACAGACACCUGAUUAUGCUUGAGUAAUGUGACUGGCUUCUGAGAGAGGUGGCUUUGCAAAUGAGUCUUGAAGGAUAAGGACAGUGAACUUAUUCAUGCUCUUUGAACUUCAAGCUGGAAAAAUCAAAGUCAGAAUCCAUAAGUUUCCCAGGAGCUCCUGACCUACUUUUGGGGAAACCAAUUCCUGUUGGAACUACAAACAAGGGAACCGCUUCCAAAGAUUUCACAGUGUGCUGUCAGAAGCAUACUGGAAGCUGGGCACUCUGGGGGCCCCUCUGAAAAUCAAUGCAUGAGCGGUCAUGUCCAGUCCUGCUAUUUGCUGGGUUUUACUUGCACAAUGUCCAUUCCAACAUUGGAGACCUCCUGUGGGACCUGUCAGGUCUCUCUUCUCCCAGCCCUGCUCCCACACCUCUCCAUGACCUGCACCUACAGCGCAGCCCUUAGCUCUUUCAACCUGAGUCCGGGGACACUGGAGGAGCUCCUCAUAUGGAAAUGGGAUUCAGUGUCUGAUUCCUCUUGCUCUUCUCUUGGAGCUCAGUCCUAACAACUGGGCUCCUGCCUUUCUCCUCUUAAGUUCCCACCUUACAGCCAAGUGGAUAACUGGGUCUUUGUGCUUGAAUCCCUGCCUGGACAAUCUCUGUUCGCUCAGACUUUCCUGGCCCUACCCUUGCCUAUGCCUCCUGUUUCAGGCCCCAGGAACUGGAGGCCCACUCCUGUACCUCUGCAUUUGGGGCCUUGCCUUUCACCCCAGGAACACACUGAGGUUCUGACACAGUCUAUUCUUGGAUGCCUGUUGGGGUAUAUCUUUAUUCUUACAGCUCCUUCCUAUGUUCCAAGGCCAAAGCCAGCAACCUGACCCCCUUCCUGCAUAUUAUACCAUUAAUGUACUUUGUAAUCCCUGAUGUUUCUCUGCUGGAGAGAAAAAUUAUUUUCCACAUUUUGUGAUUUUCUUUGUUAGAAUUGAGUGUUCAUCACACACACGCAUGCACAUACACACACACAAUUUGAGAUGGUGCCAGGAAACCAACUGACCAGAAAGAUUCAUACUUGUUCAGGACUCACACCUGCUACCACCCGUGGCCCACUAGCUCUUAGGUGGGAAUUUGUCCCACUUCAUACUCAGAGGGGGUUAAAAUUGUUGCCCUGAGUUAGAACUUCUGGGCUCUAACUUCCAGAAGCUUCUGGUCACUGAGUUUCUGCCUAUGAGAUGAAGCUAGCCAGGACUGAUGAUGGGGGUUUGUACGUGUUUUCAGAUACACUCACCUCAUGGGGGUUCCUGUGAAUAUUAAAAGAAAUAACUCAAGUGGGGCAUCAAACCUAGAGCUUGGCACAUAAUAUGUGCUCAUGUAAUGUUGAGUAUUGCUAUUAUCCUUAAGGGAGAUACCCACUGCCCAGAGGGGACAUGGGUGAGACUCAGAUUGGCACUCCCACAAAGCUGACACUCCACAUGUUCUGUGUCUCUCUGUGGGCUGUACUUUGAAGGCAGGACUUCCCUCCAUGGGGCAUUCCUGGUCUUUUCAUACCUGUCUCUCUGGCUUAUUCCAUGGCAGUGGUGACUGUUGGGGGGGCAGUAGCCAGCCUGGGCUGCAGGGAGCCUUCCCAUUCUGACUAUGUCAUGGCGCAUGCCUCUCGAUGUCCCAGGAGCUGGAGAGACCCAGUUCAAGUCCCAGUCCCGCCCAUUCCAGCAGGAAGACCUUGGAAGAAUGGCUUCAUCUCCCAAGUUCCACGUCCCCAUCUUUACAUGGUGAUAACCGCGCUAGCCUUAUUGACUGAAGUAAAGGAAUGACUGGUGGCUGAAGUAAAGGAAUGACUGGUGGCACGUGCAGUGCUUGGGGGUUAUUGAGUGGCUUUACCCCACACAUGCUUGUCAUUGUCAUCAUCUGUGAUAUCUCUGCAAGGCUCCUUGUUGAGGAGAAAACAAAGGGAAGUCCUUGAGAGAAACCAAGAUCAGGAAGAAAGUCAUGGGAUUAUCUUCAGAGGGUCUUCCAUAACCCAGUCCCACCCUGAGCUCUUAGGAGUAUUUCUGCAUCUGUGUGAGCAAGCACACUAGCUUCCCUACCCUGGGGACUUGCCAUGCUGUUUUGCUCACUGUCCUGCUCACAUCUGCUCUUGGCUGCCUUAUUUAUUCCUCACUGUCCUCAUCUGCUAGGGCCAGAGGCUCCAUAAGGACAAGAUCCCUUUCGAACAGAACAUCACAUAUGUAGUCUCUGAUUUGAUCUGUGCUACGUGUGAUGACCUGUAUCACUUUGCUUAUGCAUGGUACAGCUGAAUGCUGCCAAGAGGGAAGAUGCUUUGGUUGUUGGCUCAAGCUCGCAUUCAGGGAUCCCUCCCGGUGCUUCACUAGCCUCCUGACCCAAUUAGUAGUUGUCAUCAUCAUCAUCACCACCAUCAUCAUCUGUUGAUAGGAUCUAUCAUUUAUCACUCAAACUGGGACACUUAAAUGUGAACGCGGGUGCUGUUGAUGAUUACUCCAGGACAACAGAUGCGUCCAACUGAGAUUGUCACCCUAUUUAUUGACCAAAUACUGUUUCGAAGACUCUAUGCUAAGCACUGUGCCUUCCUUGUCUUGAAUCCAUUCAAUGCUCUGUUAGGUUCUAUCUGUUCCCAUUGUAUGGAUCAGAAUACUGAGGCGUGAGAGCAGAAAGGACCUAGGCCAAGGUUGUAUCACCUGUGAGUGGCAGAACCAGGCUGUCUGCGCCCAUAGUCUGGGCCUGUGACCACAUGUUGACCUACCUUCUGCUCACUUAGUCCUGCACUCAGGCAUAUCAAAUGUGUGGGUAGCCACGUUACUCAGGCACUUGGCUAGGUAUAGGGGCUACACAGGUAAUGGAGAAUUCUGGGAUCCCUUAAUAGGCUGGAAGUCAGACAGCUCUCAGUGUCCUUUGUUUAUCUAGCUCUACAUGGACCUCCAGAGCUAAUUCACAAAUGCCGGUGUGAUGCGAGGAGUACUCUGGUCUUGGGCUGCAGGAUGUAAUUGUGGCAUGGCAGCCUUCCUGCCACCUAGGGUUCAGUCUGGGAGCUGUCCAUCUCCAGCUCAGAUCCAGGGCUGGGGAGUGGGAGGUCCUUGUCAACACUGUCAUACAGGGGAGCUGGAAAUAGUUCAGGCAUUUCUCAUUCUUGUCCAAAGCAGGGAUCAACACAGUUGACAUGGUGGCGACCCCGUGGGUGCUGCAUGUAUGUUAUUAUGGACUGACAGCGGGGGCAGCUAUCUUUGCCUGGGCCAUCACAUGGUGAAGCCGCAGCAACUCUGUGCACUUAUCAGAACAAAAGACUCCUGGCCACCCCGUGAACUACAUACCUGCUAUUCCUCUGGACAGCCUUCUCCCAGCUCCUCUCGUUUGCAGCUCCCUCUCCUCCAGUAACUAGGCAACCAGGGGAGCAUGCGUCCCAGGUUGACCACUGUAGGGGCUGUGAACUCUGCAGUGGUCAUGAACACCCCACAUUUUCUGGAAAUGCACUUACCCAAAGUGUCAAUGUAAGGGUGGACAAGCAGGAAAGAAGACACAAAGAAAUACCUAACGCAGUCACAUUUAGAAAAGGGGUGGCGUAUCAGUUUUCUUCACAUUUAUAUUUCUAAGUAACUGAAAGUCAUCCGGCAUGAUAGUUAUCACUCCAUUCCUGUCUCCCUGGCACAAGUUUCUAAUCACUCUUCUUGGGAACUUUCUAAGAAGGGUACACUAUUUUAGUCAUCCUAAAGAACUUUUGUAAUCAAAGACACAAUCCAAAAUGCCAUAUGCUUUACUAUUUUGUAUUACCAGCCAGUUGUGGGUAGUCUGGGCAAUGGUGCUGAGCUAUGGCCUGGACAGUAGAAAACUCUGCAUCAGGCAUGCAUUAUUGAUACAGAGCAUCGAAAUACACCACAUGAUUUUUACAUACGCUCCUCCUUCCUAAUUACGUGAUGAUGUUUUAUUAUGAGUUUCAUCACCAGUACUUUAGCCGACGUGUAUACAGCACUGACUCUGUGCCAGGCGCUGUCCUAAUCCCUUUGUAUUUAGUAACAUACUGAAUACUCCCAACACCUCUGUGAAGCAGGGCUUUAGUGAGAAUAACAAUAGCUGCUUUAAGGAAGAGAAACAAAAACGAAGUGGCUCUAACCAGAUGGAAUAUUAUCUCUCUCUCUCGUGACCACCUCUGUUCCAAGUUGGAAGGCAACAUGGUCAGGCUGAUGGCCCCUUUACCACUGUCUACAUGUGCCUUCUAAAGUUGCUCUGAUCCCGGCUACUCGAGCCAUCAGAGGCGGAGGACAAGAGUGUAGUGACAGACACUUGCUCUUCCAAGGCCUGACCUAGAAAUAGCACGAGUCAGUCCCACUUAUUCAGUGAGAGAUGAAGUCACAUGGCCAGGCUGCUGGGGAGGCUGGGAAACGUGGUAGAGCCCACCAGCACGUGCCACCCCACAGUUCUGCCGUUACAGAGAAGGGGGAGCAGCCAGGGACUUCUACCACGGAGAGCCACUAUCUUGACAUUUUACAGAAGAGGAAACUGAGGGACAGAGCAAUGAAACUCCUUUGAGAGCACAGAUAAUCAGUGUGGCUGGGAUUCAUACUUGGGUUGUCUGGCUUUUAGUCUAUGCUUUCAAUCAUUAUGCUGUAUUAGACUUAUAAUACAAUAUUAGUUUUAACAAUACAGAUCUUCAAAUUUGACCACUCACUAUAUUCUUCUAUCCCAAAGCAUCGAAGCCACUCAUUUGUCAGUAAGAUAUGUUGAGAUAUCUGACAUUGGAUUGGAGAACUGCGUAUCACCCAUACUCUUCAGUCCAGAGUGAGAGCCAGGACUUGGCAUUUAGAGCCCCAAGGAGCUUGUAGGGAGCAGACAGACAAGGGUCUCCUGAGAGACUGGCAGUGGGCAAGCCUUGCUCCUUGAGGGCUGGGAGGGGACCUGCUGCUCAGGGCUUGGUACAGAAUAUCACCUCCUUCUCCCUCAACUCUGACCAGCAACACUCCUUCCUGAUGCUUUAAGCGACUUGAUGGCCACAGCAGGAGCUGCUGAGAGGCAGGGAAGAACUGACAGCAGCCCAAAGCUGCACGGCUAACACAUCCUUCAGCAAGGCAGGGGUCUGGGGGCAUCUGCUCUCCUUGGCAGAAUUUUCAGAGAUUCUUUGCAUCUUAAAGAGCUCAUGGUGCUCUCAUCAACUUCAUCUCAUCAUGGUCUUGUUUUGUAUUUCUCUUUUUUACCUUCAUAUACCAUCAUUUGUAUGGGAUUAGGAGAUGGAGAAACUGGGAAGUCUGAAAAGCAAAAGAGCAAUUUACAGUUAUAAAGGCAUCUCCUACAUGCUACCUGGAGGUAGGCAGAUCUUAUCAGGCCCAUGGUCAGAAGGGGAAGAGGAGGCCAGAGGAAGUCUAGAGGCAGCCAUAGAUCACUAGGGAGUAGCAGCAGGUUUACCCUUCCCAGUUCUGGCCCCGUCACCCAAAAUACACUGCCUCAAGGUCUCUGGACUGAUGACGGUGUUCUUCUAAAUUGGUUAGUUUUUCCUACUAGGGGUUGGCAGGGCCAGCAGAGAGGAUGGCCUGGAUCAGUUUAAGCAAACAUCCUGAUCCAGUGAUUUAUAACUUUCAGGAGGUUAAGAAACCAGUAUUCCCGCUGAGUCAAGGACUUACAUAUUCACAUACACUUUUGGGAGUUCCCAGACAUGUUGAAACCCAUCCAGGGGUUCCCUAUGUAAGGACUGGGACUCCUCUCCUAAAUUUCUCCACUUGAUUUAUUUGUUAAUCAAACCUGUGAAAAUGGAUCAACUCAAAUUUUUAUCAGUAAGAGAAUAGUUGAGUAAAUCAGGGCAAAUCCAUGGGAUGGAAUACUUUGUAAUAAUUCGGAAGUAAGAGAUAGUUAUUAUAUAUAACAAUAUGGAAAAAUCUCCAAGACAGUAAAGUUUGAAAAGGAAAAUAAAAAAUUAGUUCAUUUAAUUGAAAUACAUAUAUUGAGACUCUGCUAUGUGCUGGGGCAGCAGUAAGGAGCAAAACAGAAGUCCCUCUCCUGGGAGUCUGGGCCACUGGGAAAUGGGACUGAGAGAUGCGGUGGGUGAGCCACACAGGGCCAUUUGGAUCAGUUCUGAGGAUGGCAGGGAGGGUUUUGAGCAGGGCCAUGACAUGAUGGCUUUUACUUUUUAAAAGCUCAGUCUGGCUAGUGUGAAAAGCAUUGCUUCUGGAGGUGGCUGAAGCAGGGUGAGCAGGUUAGGAGACUACUGUAAUAGUUUAGGCAUGGCACUUUGUGUCCCCACCAUGGGGGUGGGGGCAGGGUGAGAAGUGAGCAGGUUCUGGAUGGCAGUGACCCUGGGAUUUGUUGACAGUUCGGAUUAUGGAAAGAAAAGAGGAACCAAGGAUUCCCAAUCUGUGGCCAGUAAGUGGUGGGUAGACUGGGAGAGGAGCAGGUUCAGGAGGGGCAAAAUCAAGGGUUCUGCCUUGGACCAGUUUGCAGGGCGUGUCAGAGGUCCCAGUUGAGAUGUCAGGUGAGCAGGUGGUGGUCCAGCUUCAGGCUGGAGGAACAUAUUGAGAGCCAGCAUCUUCUAACUGCUAUGCAGUGCUGUAGGGCCAGGAGAGAUCAAAGAGGUAGAGAAGUGGUCCCCGAUGGAGCCAGGGACCAUCCCUCAUCCAGAGGUCACUCGUGUAAGGAGGACCCCAGCAUGCGAGGUGGAGAAGGACCAGACAGUGAGCAGUGAGGUAGGAGGAGAGCCCAAAAAGGUCGGGCCCCUAAAACCAAGGGCAGAAAGAGCUUCAAGAGGGAGGGAGUAACCAGUGAUAACAAAUUCUGCCGAUGCCACAUACGUAAGAUUAUAUACAUAUAAUCUUAUGCAUAUAUAUUCAGCACCAGACAUGUAGAUUCAUGGAGAGUUCCAGAAGAAUACAUAUUACAGGGUUAAGGAUUGGGAUUGGAGGAGGAAGUAAAGGGAACUUCUUCAUGCUCCUAUAUCAGGUGUCUGUUGGUUACUCAUGUUAUUCAAAAAGAACAAUAAAUUUAAAAUGGGGGAACUAUCUCCCAGGGAGAGGGUCUCUCCUUGCUUGGGGCCCCUGCCUUGUACUUCCCACUUCCCUUUUAUAAGGAGGGCUUACAGCUCCCAAACCGGCAUCCCUCCUCCUCCCCAACCUGGGGCUGACUCCAAAGUCCAGCCCUUUCAGCAUGUCCCCAUUCUGCAUUGCAAGGGGCCUUACUCCCCUCGCAGCCGUCUUCUAAACCAGUUCAGACAGGCAGGGAAAAGUAAUUCCACAAUCGGUUGCAGCUCUUUGUGAAGGUAUAAAGAAUAUGUGACGCUGUGACAUUUGCAACAGACUGCCACAUUGAUGGGGUUUUGUCUGUGGUGGUGGUUUUAUCAAUGGUUUUUCCUGAGCAAUUUCAGACUCUGUUUUGUGCAGAUGAUUGAAGACAUUCUGGAAAUUUCUUUCUUUUUGAAUGAUCCAUUCCACCCAGACAUCCGAACCCUUUGAGGCAAAACAAAUACAACGCACACACACUCACACUCACACACACUUUGAAUCUCUGUCAAGCUGAGCGUCUCAGAGUAAAUGAGCCAAUUUGUUUUCAUUUAAAUAUGUAAGUAGGAGAAGCAAACCUAAUGGACAUGCAUGAGAGAACGCAGAGCUGUAAGCUGGAAAAAAAUGCAGAUGAAUUUGUCACAUGUCUCGUGAUAAAUGAUAUUUGUGCAAUUAAACAGAGCCAGCCUGGUGGCCAUGAACACCUCAAUGCAUUACAUUUUUAUCUGCAGGGCCGUUACCCUCAUGUUUCCUGUCACAGAGUCUAAACAUCACAACUCCGCGGAGGAGGGGCACUUUGACUGCAAGGAUGCUGAGUUAUGCCAAGCAGUACAGAAAAGUAGGUCAGUGGGUCACCUGUGCAAGCCUGAACAGAAGGAAAGUUUGUCUGACCCUGGUGAGGCCCAGGGCUCCCAGAGCCCGGUCAGCAACUGGUGGAAACCCUGGGUCACGGGGGCAGCCAGAUAGCUGCAUCCAGGGAGCAAGAAGACCCUAGGAAAAACAGAGUCAAGCCAGUGUUGUGGAGAUGCAGGAAGAGUGAAAGAUGGGACUGAGAGAAUCCAGACAUCUAUGGCACAGAAAACAAAAGAGUGCCAUGGAUGUUUGGUGCCCAGAACAGUGGGGUGCCCAGAUUUGGAGGGCUUGCUCCUUCCUGUACAGAUCUAGACUCCAAGUGCAUUACUUGAAUCUACUUGAAGAACAAGUAGUUGAAUCAUGGUUUAAUCAUAGCCUUUCAGAGCUAUCAGGGAGCUUGGGGGUUUAUUUAGCUCAACCUCCCACCCGGAGCAGGAAUUCAUUCCCCAGAACCCCCAGCAGAGGGCCUGAAUAUCCAACUCCACCAAACUCAAGGAGUAAUGGGCGCUCAGGGGUAUGUGGGUUCCAUUGCUGUCUACCAUGCUGCAGAUUUGACAUGGGGUGCAGCCUGCAGGGUCUGCCCACCUGCAGAGUGGCUGGUGUUAAUCUGCUGGACUGAGGAGUGUCCCCUUCCUUUCUCGCAUCCUGUUCAUGAGCCUUCCCAUAAAGACAUCCCCUAUGGAAACCAGCAACAGGGGCUCAAGGCCCGCUUAGGGAUACUGAAUCUGUCCCCUACCCUCCAAAUGACCACCUGUUUGGUCCUGCUUCUGCCCUUGGAGCUACAAGAACUGGUGUCCUUCCCCCUCCUACCUGACAAACCCGGAGUCUGCCUGCCACGUGCCCCUUGGUCUUCCCAUUGCUCACCCACACUGGUGGCUUCUCCCGUACAUGGCUUCCGGCACCUUCACCAUCCUGGUGACCUUCUGGUCUGGCUCUGCCUCUUUUCAGUUCCCCAAGUGUGAGUUGUGCAUCCAGAGGACCCAGAAGCAUUUUCCUUAUCUAAUUAGCACUCCUCCAACCCUAGGAGCAUGGAUUUUUAUUUUACAAAACAAACUGGGAACAUUUAAAACUCCAGAAUGGGGUUUGGAUCAAAACAAUGUUAGCAGUUUUGACGAUUCUUUGGGACAGGUUGAGAAAGACUGGCAGAGUCCCACGAGCUAGAGAGUUGUGGCUCUGAGGAGGAGGAUAGUCUCCUGGGUGCCAAGGCCAGCAGAGGGACGCGGGAGGGCUGGAACUGCCCUGGGCCUCAGAGGCUUUUCAGGGGCAGGGAGACCUUACUUGUGUGCAGGUUGUAGCCUUGCAUCUCAGGGCUACUUUUUGAUCAGCAGCAGAGUCUCUAGACCUGGGGACUUUGGCUAAGGGGAAAAAGGGAGCUGUUCUCUCUAAACCAGGAGUUUUCCUUCACACCUGGAGAAAAUAUCUGGGUCUCAAAUCCUGGGACCUCAGGAGAAUAUACUCUUCAUGUUAGUGGCAUGGGUCAGGAUGGGACCCUGGGCUCACCUCCUGCAUGCUCCCAGCUCAGAGAAGAGAACCCCACAGUUCCUGUUCUAAGCCUGCUUGACCCCACCGUCACAUGCUGGAGUCUUCUGUGAGGACACUGGGGUCCCCCCGGCUCGGUCAGAGGCCCAUGCACGCUGGGCUUCAGCGCCCACUGUGGUUACUCAAACUCUGACCUGAGUGUUUCUUUGGCAGGUUAUCUCACAGAUUCCCCUUGAUAAGGAUCCUUUUCCUUAUGCUUGCUCUCACGGCUUCUGCCCGUUUUCUAGAUUGCACCUGGCAAACCUUAAACUGCCAUGUCCCCACAACUAUUUCACUGGCAGUUACUGCCCACACCCCGGGGGCAGGUGGAUUGUGUGGAGCCCUCAGACCCCACCAUGUUCCCUGUACACUGAUAUUAAUCAAGAAAGCAAAUAAAUGGCACAGCUUUCCACUCUGUUGUUAUUCCUUCUAAAAUAUCACUCUUGAUCACUAUGUUGAGACAAAAUUUACUAGGACUUCAAACUGGCAUUUCUAAGAGUUCCUACCUCAGAUUGUAAAUUAGGACUGAUUCUCUAUAUAGUUCUCUGUGCAGAGGAUGACGACUCAGUGUCUGGUGGAUGCUAGAAGUGAGCACACCCAGCUCUGCCAAGUUCCAGGGUCUGAGGUGGGGCUACUGGGCACAGAGAGGAUUUGUACCUUGAAGUGGUUUGGACCACAGGACAGUGAGUCCCUAGAAGACACUUUCUGUAUCACAGCACCCCACAAAGCUGACUCAGAGCAAGGAGAAAAAAGAUGCUUUGAGCUACAAGAUGCAAUCUCACUGCCACCCUGAGCUCCCCCCCCUCAGGAAGUGGGGACCAUUUCUCGAGAUAAGAAACAGUAACUGCAUAGAUAAUGUUCUCACACCAAAGGUGGCGAGCUAGAAACAAGCUGGAUGUGCCUGUGCUUGAAGGGGGUGUGGUAAUGAUAGGUCCUCAGCAGGUCUCUCUCUGGGGCCACAUCGAUACUGGGUAACCCAGGGGACAAAUAUCCUGCAGGAGAGCCCACAUAAAACACUUCUCCUUCUGCAGCUUUGCAAACAGCCAAGUGCCACGGGGAGCCAGCAACAAGGAGAUGAACACGGUGAGCGGGCAGAGCAGUCAGUGAGCUCAGGCCACAUUAUCUGUCUUACUCAAUGGUGAGCACAAAAGCUGGUGGCGGUGUAAAUAAAACCUGCUUUAGGCAGCUGUGAAUGGCACUGUGAUGACCACGAGGCAUCUGUUGGCCUCCUGAGUGCAAGCCACACUUAUCUCUUCCUGUCUGCAAUAACAUGGAUCCCACUGCCCUGUAAUCUCUCUGCAUGCGUGUUUAGCAUACCACUGGAUGGAAAGCAGCUCAAGAGGACUUAGGUCUUGUUCAUCUUUUUCCCCCAGCUAAGUAAUAAUAGCCAGCAUUUAGGCAGCACUUACUGUAUGCUAGGCUCUGUGCUAAAUAGGUCACAUACAUUAUCUUUUGUUUCUCACACCAAUUCAGGGUGGUUGAUAAUGUUUUCCUGAUUCUAAGGAAGGGGAACAGGCCUCAUAUUACCCACUGGUAAGUGAUGAAGUGAGGAUUCAUAUGAGACAGGGUGAUUUGGCAAACAGACUCCUAACCAUUGUAGCCCAUAGCAAUUUCCGUAAACCUGUGCCUCUCUCCAGGGCACCCACCACAGACCAGAAGUCAUCACUUCCAAGGUCCCAGGGCUUCAUAUCAGCACCGACUGACAGCUCAUACCAAAUCCAGUCUUUUCUGACAGCACUGGUAGAGACCCUCCACAUGAGCUGUUAGCUGCCUGGGAACAGGAACCAUUGUUUAUUCCUCUCUGUUGCCCCGAGAGAUUCCAGGCCAGUGCCUUGCAUGUAGAAAAUGCUCAAGUGUUUAAUUGAAUUCAGUGUACUCAUUUCUCAUCUAAGGUUAAUAGACGGGCCCAACAUAGGGUCCUUUGAGACUAAACAACACUGAGUAUUGAAUUUGUAACCACGAUGUGCUUCAUAAUAAGCAUAAUAAAAUAUGAACCCAAGAAAGAAACGAACUCCUAGCAGAAGCUGUAUUGCAAGUCUGAAUCAUGUCCAGUGAUUUUACAAGUACACAUGUGAAGUGGCUCUUUGCUGGUUGCUAUGAGAACCAGCACUCAGAAGCCCUGUCCAACCACAGUCUUCACAGUUGUGCAUGUCCUGUGUAUGUGUGACAGAUGCAGAGCAUGUACUGAAAGUAAACACCAGUGCUCUUGACAUGUAAGAUUGUCCUUGGAAAAGGUAAAUACCCACAACUGAAACUUUUCCAAGUAUCUGUUGAUAAAUGUCCUGACAGUCUUCCAUGCCUACUUCAUCAGAUGAUAUCAUCCAUUAUAAGGGAAUUCUCAGGGUUCACUGAGAAGCUACUAUGUGGUGGGCUCAGUGCUAAGUGUUGUGUGAGAACUAAAAAGCCAGAGCAGGGGCACCUGGGUGGCUCAGUUGAUUAAGCGUCUGCCUUCGGCUCAGGUCAUAGUCCCAGGGUCCUGGGAUUGAGCCCCACUUCGGGCUCCCUGCUCAGCAAGAGAGCCUGCUUCUCCCUCUGCCUGCCGCUCCCCCCCACUUGUGCUCUCUCUCUCUCUCUCAAAUAAAUAAAUAAAAUCUUAAAAAAAAAAAAAAAAAAAGCCAGAACAGCUAUCCUUGACACUGAGAAAAUUUUAGUCCUGUUGAGAACCCACAUCCAGGAAACAGAUCCUUUGUGUACUUUUCUCAGUUUCCCCAGUAGUAACAAUUUGUAAAACUAUAGUAUAAUAACACAACCAGGAUAUGGACACUGCUCCAAUCCACUGGUUUAUUCAUACUUCCCAAAUUUUCCUUGUAUUUGUGUGUGUGUGUGUGUGUGUAUUUGGUCCUAUACAGUUUUAUCACCUAAGUGGGUUCAUGUAUCCACAACACAGUCAAGAUGUUGAAUAGUUUCAACAUCAUAAGUGUCCCUCUUUCUCUUUCAUAAUAAUACCCGCCUCUAUCUACCCCCAAUCCCAUCCUUAAUCCUUGGCAGCCACUAGUCAUUUCAAAAAUGUUAUAUAAGUGAAAUAAUACAGCAUGUAACCUUUUGAGAUUGGCUUAUUUUCAUUCAUCAUAAAUCACCAGAGAUUCACCGAAGUUAUUGAGUGUGCUAAUAAUUCAUUCCUGUGUAUUGCUGAGUAGUAUUCUGUGGUAUGGAUGUACCAGUUCGUUUAACCAUUCACCUAUGAAAGGAUAUUGGGGUGAAUUCCAGUUUGGACUAUAACAAAUAAAGCUGCUGUGAACAGUCAUAUACAGGUUUCUGUGUAAAUGCAAGUUUUCAUUUCUCAGGCAUAAAAGAUGAAAGUAUAAUUGCUGAGUCAUAUGGAAGUUGCAUGUUUAGUUUUAUAGGAAACUGUCAAACUCUUUUCCAGAGUGGAUGUACUAUUUGACAUUACCACAAGCAAUGCAUGAGAGAUCCAGUUUUUUCCUCAUCCUUUCCUGCUUUUAGUAUUGUCACUAUUUGUUUUUAAGAUUUAUUUAUUUAUUUUAGAGAGAGAGAGAGUGAGAGAGCAUGCGCAGGGAGGUUGGGAGGGGCAGAGGGAAAGACUCUCAAUGGACUCCCAGCUGAGUGAGGAGCCCAACAGAGGGCUCGAUCUUAUGACCCUGAGAUCAUGACCCCGAGAUCAUGACCUGAUCCAAAACCAAGAGUUGGAUGCUUAACCGACUGAACCACCCAGGCGCCCCUUGUCACUAUUUUUUAUUUCAGUCAUUAUGAUACAUGUGAAGUGGUGUCUCGUUGUUUUUAAUUGGCAUUUUCCUCAUGGCUAAGGACAUUGCACAUCUUUUCAUGUGCCUAUUUACUGUCUGUAGAUCCUCUUUGGUGAAAUGUCUAUACAUGUCUUUUGCCCAGUAUGUAAUUGGAUUUUUUGGUAUUUGCUAUUGAGUUUUGUGCCUUCUUUAUAUAGCCUAGAUACUAGUCCUUUGUCAAAUAUAUGGUGUGUAAUAUUUUCUUCCAGUCUGUAGCUUGGUUUUUCAUCUUUUGAACAUGAGCUGUCACAGAGCAAAAGUAUUUAAUUUUGAUGAGGACCAACUUGUCAAUUUUUCCUUUUAUGAAUCAUGCUUUUUGUGUCCAGUCUAAGAACACUUUGCAUAGUUCUGGUUCCUGAAGACUUCUUCAUACAGUUUUUUUCUAAAAGUUUAUAAUUUUGCAUUUUACUUCCUAAAUCUGUAAUCCAUUUUGAAUUAAUUUUGUCUAAGGUGUGAGGUUUAUCUCGUGGUUCUUUUUUUUUUUGGCCUACAAAUGUCCAGUCGCUCCAACACCACUUAUUGAAAAGGCUGUCCUUCCUCUAUUGAGUGGCCUUCGCAUCUUGUCAAAAAUUAAUUGGGCAUAUUUGUGUGGGUCUGUUUCUGAGUUUGCUAUUUUCCAUUGAUCUAUGUGUUUAGCCCUAUAUCACUACCAUGCUAUUUUGACUACCGUAGUUAUACACAGGCCUUAAUAGUGGGUAGAAUGAUUCCUCCCACUUUAUUGUUCUUUGUCAGGAUUGUUUUAGCUAUUCUAGGGCCUGUGCUUUACCAUAUAAGUUUUAGAAUAAGAUUGUCUAUAUCUACAGAAAACCUUGCUUGGAUUUUCUUAGCAAUUGCUUAAACCUGUAGAUCAAUUUAGGGAAAACUGACAUCUUUACUACAUUGAGUGUUCCAAUCCAUGAACACAAUAUGGCUUGCCAUAUAUUUAGGUCUUUCUUUAUUUCUUUCAUCACAUUUUAUAAUUUCAGCAUAGAGAUCCUGUACAUGGUUUUGUUAAGUGUACCCGUAAGUAUUUCAUUUUCUUUGGAGUCAUUAUAAAUGGUAUUAUAUUUUUUAACUUUUGAUUUCCACAUGUUCAUUGUUUGUAUAUAGAAAUGCAAUUCAUUUUCUUUGUUGAUUUUGUAUCUUGUGAGCUUACUGAGCUCACUUAGUAGUCCUAAAAGGUUUUUCAUAGAUUCCUGGGGAAAGCAUUCAGUCUUUCCUUAUUAAGUAUAAGAUUAGUUGUAAUUUCUUUUUUGUAGAAAUUCUUUGUCAAGUUGAGGUUAGUUCUUUCAAUUCCUAACUUGCUGAGAUUUUUAUUAUGAAUCGUGUUGGAUUUUAUCAAAUGCUUUUUUUGUGCCAACUGAUAUGAUUAUAUGAUAUUUCUACAUUAGCUUAUUGAUGUGAAGCCUAACAUUGAAUGAUUUUUUUGAGUGUUGAAUCAGACUUGCAUACCUCAAAGAAAUCCCACUUCUUUAUGGUGUAUACUUCUUUUCAUACCUUAUUGGAUAAGGUUUGUGAAUAUUUUGUUGAGGGUUUUAACAUCUAAUUUCACAAGAGUUUUUGGUCUGUAUUUUCUUUGUACUGUUUUUUUCUGGUUUUAGUAUUAGGGUAAUAUUAGCCUUAUAAAAUGAGUUGGUACAUGUUCCUUCUUGCUCUGCUUACUGGAGGAGAUUGUAUAAAACUGGUGUUAAUUCUUUAAAUGUUUGGAAGAAUUCUGUAGUGGCCUAGAGAUUUCUUUUGUGGAAACUUUUCAGUUAUUAACUUGAUUUCUUUAAUAGUUAGAGAGUUAUUCUGAUUAUCUACUUUUGGUUGAUGUGGUAGUUUGUGGUUUUUAAAGAAUUAGUCCAUUUCUUUGAAGUUGUCAAAUACAUGAGUUUAAUGUUAUUCAUAGUAUUCCCUUAUUAUCUUUUUAAUGGAUGCAGGACUUGUAGUGAUAUACCCCAUUUCAUUUCUAAUAGUGAUGAUAUGUCUUUCAUUUUAUUUUUUCCAGUCUUGUUAGAGAUUUAUCAAUUUUAUUGAUUGUUUUUGAAAAGCUGGCUUUUGUUUUUUAUCGAUUUUCUCUAUUUUUUUCCCAUUUUAAAUUUCAUCUCUACUCUUUCCUUUCUUUUGCUUGCUUUGGGUUUAUUUUGCUCUUCUCUUUUAGUUUCUUGAGGUAGGAACUCAGAUUAUUGAUUUUAGAUCUUCCUCUUCUUUAACAUGAGCAUUUAGGGCCAUAAAUUUCUUCACAUUAUUUCUUUAGUUGCAUCCCACAAAUUUUGAUAUGCUGUAUUUUUGUUUUCAUUCAGUUCUAUGUAUUUUUUUAAAAUUUCCCUUUAGAUUCUUUUGACCCACUAAUUGUUUAUAAUUGUGUUGUUCAUUUUCCACUUACUUAAUUAUUUUUCUGUUGUUGAUUUCUUCUCUGAUUCCAUUGCGGCCAGAGACCACACUAUGAUUUCAAUUCUUUAAAAUUUGUUGAGGUUUGUUGUAUGGCCCAUAACAUAGUCUACUUGGUGAAUGUUCCAUG